GUGUGGAACUAACUGGCAUGAAUGACGCAAUUGGCCUCAUAAAAGUUGAUUAGAUUACAACUUGUAUUGUGUCUUUUGAUAGGUUAUAGUUAUCUUGAGAAUGCAGUGGAACAGUGAGAAAAUGGCAUCUGUCAUGUGCCAUAACUGAUAAAUGUGGCUUUGCUCUUUAGCAACUGUGAUGAUUGGCAGAAAUGGAGUCAGGAAAACAACAGCUUACUAAAACACAUACAACAUAUUUG